CGGUGGCCGUCGCCUAAUCGCCACGGUGGCGAGCCGGGGAACCACGUCCGUGGGGUGCAUCCGCGUCAGCGCGGUAGGGAUCUUCCGUCCCGAACCCGUCAGCUAACCCGGUCGGCGGCUGACGGAAGGACAU
rnacentral:sRNA from 1 species